AGAGUUUGAUCAUGGCUCAGAUUGAACGCUGGCGGCAUGCCUUACACAUGCAAGUCGAACGGCAGCACGGGGGCAACCCUGGUGGCGAGUGGCGAACGGGUGAGUAAUGCAUCGGAACGUGCCCAGUAGUGGGGGAUAGCUCGGCGAAAGCCGGAUUAAUACCGCAUACGACCUACGGGUGAAAGCGGGGGACCGCAAGGCCUCGCGCUGUUGGAGCGGCCGAUGCCAGAUUAGGUUGUUGGUGGGGUAAUGGCCCACCAAGCCGACGAUCUGUAGCUGGUCUGAGAGGACGACCAGCCACACUGGGACUGAGACACGGCCCAGACUCCUACGGGAGGCAGCAGUGGGGAAUUUUGGACAAUGGGGGCAACCCUGAUCCAGCCAUGCCGCGUGCGGGAAGAAGGCCUUCGGGUUGUAAACCGCUUUUGUCAGGGAAGAAAUCUUCCGAGCUAAUACCUCGGGAGGAUGACGGUACCUGAAGAAUAAGCACCGGCUAACUACGUGCCAGCAGCCGCGGUAAUACGUAGGGUGCAAGCGUUAAUCGGAAUUACUGGGCGUAAAGCGUGCGCAGGCGGUUAUGUAAGACAGAUGUGAAAUCCCCGGGCUUAACCUGGGAACUGCAUUUGUGACUGCAUAGCUGGAGUACGGCAGAGGGGGAUGGAAUUCCGCGUAGCAGUGAAAUGCGUAGAUAUGCGGAGGAACACCGAUGGCGAAGGCAGUCCCCUGGGCCUGUACUGACGCUCAUGCACGAAAGCGUGGGGAGCAAACAGGAUUAGAUACCCUUGUAGUCC
rnacentral:rRNA from 1 species